AUAGGCAUUUUUAUACGACCGCAAAAAAAUUUUUGUGGUCGUAUAUUGGUAUGACGUCGUCGUCCGAAGACACAUUGGUUUUCGCACUCUAACUUUAGUUUAAGUGAAUGGAUCUCUAUGAAAUUUUACCACAAGGUUCAAUACCACAAAAGGAAGGUUGGGAUUGAUUUUGGGGGUUAUGGUAAUAACAGUAAAGGAAUUAGGGGCCAAAAAGGGGCCAAAAAUAAGCAUUUUUGUAACUUCCAGACAUAACUUGUGUGUUAGUGUAUGGAUCUCUCUGACAUUGUACCACAAGGUUCCAUAUCACUAAAGGAAUGCUGGGAUUGAUUUUGGGGGUAAUUGCCUCCAAAUUUUAGGAAUUAGGGGCCAAAAAAGGGGCAAAAAACAAGCAUUUUUCUAGUUUCAUGACAAUAACUUGUGUGUAAGUGUAUGGAUCUUUCUGAAAUUGUACUACAAGGUUCCAUAUCACAAAGGGAAAGCUGGGUUUGAGUUUGGGGGUAAUUGCCCUAAACGUUUAGGAAUUUGGGGCCAAAAAGGGGCCAAAAAACACAUUUUUUUCUAGUUUCCAGACAAUAACAUGUGUUCAAGUGUAUGGAUCUCUCUGAAAUUGUACUGCAAGGUACCAUACCACAAAGGGAAGGCUGGGAUUGAGUUUGGGGGUGAUGAAUCAUAAUGGGGGUUCAAAAAAUUUGGGGGGGGGGGAUUUAUUUUUUUUUCCUUUUUUUUUCUUUUUUUCCUUUUUUGUUUCUUUUAAAAUUUUCCAUUUUAAGUUGGUUAUUUCUGAUUUAUAUUUAAAAUCAAAUAAUAAUGAUAUGGUAGGAGAUACACACCAAACAGGAUGUGUAAAUUAUUAUAUAAUAAGUAUUGUGCAAUAGCAAGAAAUUUUCAAUUGCACAUUAUUGCACAAUAGCAAGAAAUCUUCAAUUGCACAGUAUUGCGCAAUAGCAAGAAAUCUUCAAUUGCACAGUAUUGCGCAAUAGCAAGAAAUAUCCAAUAGCACAAUAUUGCGCAAUAGCAAGAAAUUGUCAAUUGUACAGUAUUGCGCAAUAGCAAGAAAUAUUUAAUAGCACAGGAUUGUGCAAAAGAAGAUACUUCGUAUAAAUUGCUUAUUUCUUGACCAAUUUCAAUGGGGUUUUAUUCUUGAUUUCAUGGGGUUCUUUAAUAUGCUGAAUCUAACCGUGUAUUUAGUUUUUGGAUUUUGGGCCCCGUUUGUAAAUUGGUCCACAUUGAGGUCCAAAGGGUCCAAAAUUAAACUUUGUUUGAUUUCAUCAAAAAUUGAAUUAUUGGGGUUCUUUGAUAUGCCGAAUCUAACUGUGUAUUUAGAUUCUUAAAUUUUGGUUCCGUUUUCAAAUUGGUCUACAUUAAGGUCCAAAGGGUCCAAAAUUAAACUUAGUUUGAUUUUAACAAAAAUUGAAUUCUUAGGGUUCUUUGAUAUGCUGAAUCUAAACAUGUAUUUAGAUUUUUGAUUAUGGGCCCAGUUUUCAAGUUGGUCCAAAUCGGGGUCCAAAAUUAAACUUUGUUUGAUUUCAACAAAAAUUGAAUAUAUGGGGUUCUUUGAUAUGCUGAAUCUAACCAUGUAUUUAGAUUUUUGAUUUUUGGGCCCCGUUAUCAACUUUGUCCACAUUGAGGUCAAAAGGGUCCAAAAUUAAACUUUGUUUGAUUUCAUCAAAAAUUGAAUUCUUGGGGUUCUUUGAUAUGCUGAAUCUAACCAUGUAUUUAGAUUUUGGAUAUUGGACCAUAAUAGGUGAAUGUCCAAUUUAAAAAUUUUAAGUUCUUAGACCACAUUCAAUCUGUGUUAGAAACCUAUGCUGUGUCAAAUAUUUAAUCACAAUCCAAAUCCAAAGCUGUAUCAAGCUUGAAUGUUGUGUCCAUACUUCCCCCAACUGUUCAGGGUUCGACCUCUGCGGUUGUAUCAAGCUGCGCCCUGCGGAGCAUUUUAUUCUAGUUUCCAGACAAUAACUUGUGUUCAAGUGUAUGGAUCUCUCUGAAAUUGUACUGCAAGGUACCAUACCACAAAGGGAAUGCUGGGAUUGAUUUUGGGGGUAAUUGCCUCAAAAUUUUAGGAAUUAGGGGCCAAAAAGGGGCAAAAAAACAAGCAUUUUUCUAGUUUCAGGACAAUAACUUGUGUGUAGGUGUAUGGAUCUUUAUGAAAUUGUACUACAAGGUUCCAUAUCACAAAAGGAAAGCUGGGUUUGAGUUUGGGGGUAAUUGCCCUUAACGUUUAGGAAUUUGGGGCCAAAAAGGGGCCUAACAACAAGCAUUUUUCUAGUUUCCAGACAAUAACUUGUGUUCAAGUGUAUGGAUCUCUCUGAAAUUGUACUGCAAGGUACCAUAUAUACCACAAAGGGAAGGCUGGGAUUGAGUUUGGGGGUAAUUGCCUCAAAAUUUUAGGAAUUAGUGGCCAAAAAGGGGCAAAAAACAAGCAUUUUUCUAGUUUCAGGACAAUAACUUGUGUGUAAGUGUAUGGAUCUUUAUGAAAUUGUACUACAACGUUCCAUAUCACAAAAGGAAAGCUGGGUUUGAGUUUGGGGGUAAUUGCUCUAAACGUUUAGGAAUUUGGGGCAAAAAAGGGGCCUAAAAACAAACAUUUUUCUAGUUUCCAGACAAUAACUUGUGUUCAAGUGUAUGGAUCUCUCUGAAAUUGUACUGCAAGGUACCAUACCACAAAGGGAAGGCUGGGAUUGAGUUUGGGGGUGAUGAAUCAUAAGGGGGUUCAAAAAAUUUAGUGGAGGGAUUUUUUUUUUCUUUAAAAUUUUCCAUUUUAAAUUGGUUAUUUCUGAUUUAUAUAUAAAAGCAAAUAAUAAUGAUAUGGUUUGAAUAGGUAAAUUAAAAAUUUUUAAGUUCUUAGACCACAUUCAUUCUGUGUCAGAAACCUAUGCUGUGUCAAGUAUUUAAUCACAAUCCAAAUUCAGUGCUGUAUCAAGCUUGAAUGUUGUGUCCAUACUUGCCCCAACUGUUCAGGGUUCGACCUCUGUGGU